AAUGCACACACAAGGAUUUGCAAGCACCAUGUCUCUAAAACGUCAUCAAUAGGGCCCAUGAUCAAUCUCUUCAUCCCUCCAAUCAAACUAAACAAGUUGAGCAAAGCAACUGUUGUUAGAAUGCUAUGCAUGGGAGAAUUGGUUCCAAACUCCAUGAUCUCUUGCUC